AUAUCAGUCAUGCAUAGCAUAUCAAUAAGCGGAGGAAAAGAAACUAACAAGGAUUCCCUUAGUAACGGCGAGUGAAGCGGGAAGAGCUCAAAUUUGAAAUCUUCAAGGUUUUACCUUGACGAAUUGUAGUUUAAAGAAGUGUUUUCUGUUGAAGUUUUGGUAAAAGUUCUUUGGAAUAGGACAUCAUAGAGGGUGAGAAUCCCGUAUUUGACCAUUACUUUCAGCUUUGUGAUACACUUUCAAAGAGUCGGAUUGUUUGGGAAUGCAGUCCAAAAUGGGUGGUAAAUUUCAUCUAAAGCUAAAUAUUGGCGAGAGACCGAUAGCGAACAAGCACCGUGAGGGAAAGAUGAAAAGAACUUUGAAAAGAGAGUUAAACAGUACGUGAAAUUGUCAAAAGGGAAGCGUUUGACACCAGUGUUGUUUUCUCGAAAAUCAAUUAAAAAGAGUUGGAUUUUGUGUUGUAUUGACUUUAUCAGGCUUUCUUCACUCUUUUCCAGCUUUUUUAAUGCACUUUUCGUUUAACAAGUCAACAUCAGUUUCUUUUGUUGUAAAAAGGUCAUUGGAAGGUGGCUUUCUCUUCGGAGAAAGUGUUUAUAGCCUUUGACUCAGUGCAAUCGGAGAGACUGAGGUCUGCAGCGUAGAUCCUUCGGGGUUAGAUACAUUUGUGCUAAGUUAUAGCUUUUCAUAGACAACUUGUUGACUAUGUUUAGUCUUGUAGCUUACUCGCUUAUGCUAUUUUACCUACGCUUAGGAUGUUGAACUCUAUCACACACAG
rnacentral:rRNA from 1 species